CCUACGGGUGGCAGCAGUGGGGAAUAUUGGACAAUGGGCGAAAGCCUGAUCCAGCCAUGCCGCGUGUGUGAAGAAGGCCUUCGGGUUGUAAAGCACUUUCAGUGGGGAAGAAAGCCUUGGGGCUAAUACCCUCGAGGAAGGACAUCACCCACAGAAGAAGCACCGGCUAACUCCGUGCCAGCAGCCGCGGUAAUACGGAGGGUGCGAGCGUUAAUCGGAAUUACUGGGCGUAAAGCGCGCGUAGGCGGUCUGAUAAGCCGGUUGUGAAAGCCCCGGGCCCAACCUGGGAACGGCAUCCGGAACUGUCAGGCUAGAGUGCAGGAGAGGAAGGUAGAAUUCCCGGUGUAGCGGUGAAAUGCGUAGAGAUCGGGAGGAAUACCAGUGGCGAAGGCGGCCUUCUGGACUGACACUGACGCUGAGGUGCGAAAGCGUGGGUAGCAAACAGGAUUAGAACCCGAGUAGUC
rnacentral:rRNA from 1 species